GUACAAAGUAGGCCCGCUUGUUGGCCGUCCGCUUCUGCACCUUGUAGGGCUGUUCAAUGAUCCCGGGCCAAGAUUCGCUGAGGGACUGGACGGAUAUCUUGACAUUCCCGAGCUUGUCAUCGCUAUUGACGGGGUCCUCAUCGUAUAUGCGGCAUUUCAGCUCGAAACCGGAGCUAGGGACAUUGGCAACAAUCCAGUGGGAAUCCCAAACAGGCUCGACGUUCUUUGGAAUCGUGCGCGUUCGGAAUACGAGAUCGGGGUCCUGCUUGUUGCGGCGAGGAAGGUCGGAAGUCAGAUGGGCGAGGACGAAAGGGUCGGCUGAUAAGGUCCGGAUAUCAGCAAUCGGGAGGUUGGACGCGCGGUGAAAGGUGAAUUUGAGGGUGAAGCCCGGAGGCGCGGGGGGGACGGGAGUGCUAUCAAAACCACCGGCAGGCUGCUGCUCUUGCGGAGAGGUUGAGUUCGCGCUCGAAUUCAAAUUCAGGUUGGACGCGGAGUCGGCGGUGGCCAUUUGGGGCUUGACGGGGGGAAAAGAGUAUACGGUUAGCUCUGGGGCUGGGGUGUGAAUAGCAGACGACGACGACGACGACGACGACGACGACGACUCUCUCUAUACCUUGGGGGGAGGGAAAGAGGAAGAAGGAAGAAGGAGGACGGAAGAGGAUGGAUGAUAUCCUCCAGCGUCAAGUUGCCAGAGAUUUGACUCUGGAUAGCAGAAAUCAGCCAGGAAUCGUCUCAGGGAUCAAUCUCCCCAGCUGGCUUGCUGCGGCUGCGUUCCACGACGGCGCCACCGUUCGCUAAAAUAUUUAAGUACAAAGCUUGAUUCAAACUCGUCAUCGGGAAAGGAGAAGAAAGAAGAAACCAGUCAGCAUCAGCACGCCCGGCUAGCUAAUGCAGCAUCUACGCAGUGGUUGAACUGUACUACGUGUGUAAAUAUGUGUAUGUAUGGCAGUGUGUAUGGACCGUCGCGUGGAGGUUGAGCGGGAGGAGAGUAUUCUCGCCCAAAUACACUGCGCCGCUGGAAGGAGGGAGAGAAAAAAAAAAAAAACCCAAAAUGCUAUUCAUCUAUUCUAUUUUCAGGAAAUCACCAAACGGGAAACAUUUCAUUUGUCGCCAGGCGCCUCACUGGUUGCAGUGCUUGAGCUGCACUGCAGCUUGUCAAGCUCUAGAACCGCUCGCCAUGUUUGUCUAUACGGUUGCUGCGUAUGUCUGGCUUAGUGCGUUCUGCAAAUAUCCCUGUGGCGCGCCAGCGAAUUCCAAUUUGUUGUAUUGAGCGGGGGAAUCAAUCCCAGAAUUGUCUCUUGAUUUCAAUAUCCUAAUAGCAAAGUCGCAACAGAGCCAAAGUGGUGGCGCUUCCUUUGGUACUGUAGCUGACCCGUGAGGUAGGAGAAUGGUCGUCCCAAAAAGGGCCGCUCAAAAUUCAGCUGACCCAUGACGAAGGGCCAUUGAUUAUUCCGUUGGAAGUCGGGCCUUUAAAUGAUGGGUUGCCGUUUGUGAAUGAACCAUGUUUCAACCAACCAAUCUUUAGUAAAACCAGCCGCUUCACCAGGAUUUGUCGUAUUACGA
rnacentral:sRNA from 1 species